GACGGACGCUGGCGGCGUGCUUAACACAUGCAAGUCGAACGGAAAGGCCCUGCUUGCAGGGUACUCGAGUGGCGAACGGGUGAGUAACACGUGGGUGAUCUGCCCUGCACUUCGGGAUAAGCUUGGGAAACUGGGUCUAAUACCGGAUAGGAGCCAUCUUUAGUGUGGUGGUUGGAAAGUUUUUUCGGUGUAGGAUGAGCUCGCGGCCUAUCAGCUUGUUGGUGGGGUAAUGGCCUACCAAGGCGGCGACGGGUAGCCGGCCUGAGAGGGUGUACGGCCACAUUGGGACUGAGAUACGGCCCAGACUCCUACGGGAGGCAGCAGUGGGGAAUAUUGCACAAUGGGCGCAAGCCUGAUGCAGCGACGCCGCGUGGGGGAUGAAGGCCUUCGGGUUGUAAACUCCUUUCGCUAGGGACGAAGCUUUUUUGUGACGGUACCCAGAUAAGAAGCACCGGCUAACUACGUG
rnacentral:rRNA from 1 species